GCAAACUUGGUCAUUUAGAGGAAGUAAAAGUCGUAACAAGGUUUCCGUAGGUGAACCUGCGGAAGGAUCAUUACCGAGUUAGGGUCCCUCUCGGGCCCGACCUCCAACCCUUUGUCUACCUUACCUUUUGUUGCUUCGGCGGGCCCGUCUUUUUAUGAGACCGCCGGAGGGCUUCGACGCCCUUUGGCCAGCGCCCGUCGGUGGCCAUUAACCGAAACUCUUGUUGAAACGUGUCGUCUUAAAAAGUUGUGAAUCAAUAAACUAAAAACUUUCAACAACGGAUCUCUUGGUUCUGGCAUCGAUGAAGAACGCAGC
rnacentral:misc_RNA from 1 species